UGACUCUAGUCCGACUUUGUGAAAUGACUUAGGAGGUGUAGCAUAAGUGGGAGCUCCGGUGAUCUUGAAAUACCACUACUCUUAAUGUCAUUUUACUUAUUCCGUGAGACUGAAACUUGCAUCAUGUGAGUUUUUGAUUUAAUGUGACCUCCUUUGGCAGCUGAUCUGUGCGGAAGACAUAGUCAGGUGGGGAGUUUGGCUGGGG
rnacentral:rRNA from 1 species